rnacentral:rRNA from 1 species
CCGACGGGUGGAGGUAACACGUAUCCAACCUGCCGUCUACUCUUGGACAGCCUUCUGAAAGGAAGAUUAAUACAAGAUGGCAUCAUGAGUCCGCAUGUUCACAUGAUUAAAGGUAUUCCGGUAGACGAUGGGGAUGCGUUCCAUUAGAUAGUAGGCGGGGUAACGGCCCACCUAGUCUUCGAUGGAUAGGGGUUCUGAGAGGAAGGUCCCCCACAUUGGAACUGAGACACGGUCCAA